CCUACGGGUGGCAGCAGUGGGGAAUAUUGGGCAAUGGGCGCAAGCCUGACCCAGCAACGCCGCGUGAAGGAAGAAGGCUUUCGGGUUGUAAACUUCUUUUCUCAGGGACGAAGCAAGUGACGGUACCUGAGGAAUAAGCCACGGCUAACUACGUGCCAGCAGCCGCGGUAAUACGUAGGUGGCAAGCGUUAUCCGGAUUUACUGGGUGUAAAGGGGGCGUAGGCGGGGAUGCAAGUUGGGUGUUAAAUCUACGGGCUCAACUGGUAGUCGCACUCAAAACUGCAGCUCUUGAGUGAAGUAGAGGUAGGCGGAAUGCCUGGUGUAGCGGUGAAAUGCGUAGAUAUUAGGAGGAACACCGGUGGCGAAGGCGGCUUACUGGACUGUAACUGACGUUGAGGCUCGAAAGCGUGGGGAGCAAACAGGAUUAGAUACCCUGGUAGUC
rnacentral:rRNA from 1 species